rnacentral:rRNA from 1 species
UACGAAGGGGACUAGCGUUGUUCGGAAUCACUGGGCGUAAAGCGCACGUAGGCGGAUUUGUAAGUCAGGGGUGAAAUCCCGGGGCUCAACCUCGGAACUGCCUUUGAUACUGCGAAUCUUGAGUCCGAUAGAGGUGGGUGGAAUUCCUAGUGUAGAGGUGAAAUUCGUAGAUAUUAGGAAGAACACCGGUGGCGAAGGCGGCCCACUGGAUCGGUACUGACGCUGAGGUGCGAAAGCGUGGGGAGCAAACAGGAUAGAA